rnacentral:tRNA from 2 species
GCAGUGGUAGUUCAGUUGGUUAGAAUGCCGCCCUGUCACGGCGGAGGUCGCGGGUUCGAGCCCCGUCCGCUGCGCCA